UGGUGGAGCGAUUUGUCUGGUUAAUUCCGAUAACGAACGAGACUCUAGCCUAUUAAAUAGUUCGCCGAUUUUUCGAGUCGGCGUCAACUUCUUAGAGGGACAAGUGUAGUAUAGGCACGCGAGAUUGAGCAAUAACA
rnacentral:rRNA from 1 species